rnacentral:rRNA from 1 species
CGGCCCAGACUCCUACGGGAGGCAGCAGUAGGGAAUCUUCGGCAAUGGGGGCAACCCUGACCGAGCAACGCCGCGUGAGUGAAGAAGGUUUUCGGAUCGUAAAGCUCUGUUGUAAGAGAAGAACGUGUGUGAGAGUGGAAAGUUCACACAGUGACGGUAUCUUACCAGAAAGGGACGGCUAACUACGUGCCAGCAGCCGCGGUAAU